rnacentral:rRNA from 2 species
ACGGAAGGCAGCAGUGGGGAAUAUUGCACAAUGGGCGAAAGCCUGAUGCAGCGACGCCGCGUGAGUGAAGAAGUAUCUCGGUAUGUAAAGCUCUAUCAGCAGGGAAGAAAAUGACGGUACCUGACUAAGAAGCCCCGGCUAACUACGUGCCAGCAGCCGCGGUAAUACGUAGGGGGCAAGCGUUAUCCGGAUUUACUGGGUGUAAAGGGAGCGUAGACGGUUUGGCAAGUCUGAAGUGAAAUGCGGGGGCUCAACUCCUGAACUGCUUUGGAAACUGUCGAACUAGAGUGCAGGAGAGGUAAGUGGAAUUCCUAGUGUAGCGGUGAAACGCGUAGAUAUUAGGAGGAACACCAGUGGCGAAGGCGGCUUACUGGACUGUAACUGACGUUGAGGCUCGAAAGCGUGGGGAGCAAACAGGAUUAGAUACCCUGGUA